AGACCUGUAGUUAAAUAAAUAAUAAGAGUUUUGUAAACUUUGGUUAAACGUGUUAACGUUUUGGGUCUG
rnacentral:tRNA from 1 species